ACGGAAGGCAGCAGUGGGGAAUAUUAGGCAAUGGGGGCAACCCUGACCUAGCAACGCCGCGUGAAGGAAGAAGGCCUUCGGGUUGUAAACUUCUUUUAUAGGGGACGAAACGAAUGACGGUACCCUAUGAAUAAGCCACGGCUAACUACGUGCCAGCAGCCGCGGUAAUACGUAGGUGGCAAGCGUUGUCCGGAUUUACUGGGUGUAAAGGGCGCGUAGGCGGGAUUGCAAGUCAGAUGUGAAAUCCAUGGGCUCAACCCAUGAACUGCAUUUGAAACUGUGAUUCUUGAGUAUCGGAGAGGCAAGCGGAAUUCCUAGUGUAGCGGUGAAAUGCGUAGAUAUUAGGAGGAACACCAGUGGCGAAGGCGGCCUACUGGGCUCUUACUGACGCUGAGGCUCGAAAGUGUGGGGAGCAAACAGGAUUAGAUACCCUGGUA
rnacentral:rRNA from 1 species